rnacentral:misc_RNA from 1 species
AUUUAACCAGUUUAUGGUGCAGAGCAAGUAUUUUAGCUAAAUUAGAUGCAUAUUUUCUUAUUUAGCAAAGCUUCUGAACCUGCCACUCAGCCAACACCUACGUGGCACAAUUUUGAGCUGCAGUUACUAAUGCAUUGGUCCGAGUUUAGGAUCAUAAUUAUUUUAGCUGUGUCAACUACUGGUGUGUUAGACCUCCUCCUCUUCUUCUUGCCCCCUCUUUUCUUGUUCAGUUUCUAAGUUGCUAACAUCUGGACUGAGCUACAUUUCUUUGGCAUGCAUCCUGCUAAAUUGGAACUUCACUUUGAGCAAGAAGGCAUCUGUGAAAUUGUUGAUAUACAGCAGAAUAGUUGAGGAAGCUUCCCUUAUGCAUCUUUGCAGCGAGAUGCCUUGUGAGCACAGUGAGAAAUUGGAACAAGAACUUCCUUGAACAUGUUUGACAAAGGGUGAUCUCUUUACCUUAUUUUGAGGGGGAAAUAAAACUUCUUACCCUGUGUUAUUGAGAGAAUUGUAACACUAGUCCCCCUUUGCCUUUGUAACCAGGUUUGAUCUUGGAGAGCAUAAUUGCCAGGGGAGGAAAUCUAUUUGGCUGUACUAAACUUCUUACCCCGUUGUCUACUAAGUCAUUUUAGAUGGUUUAGCUUAGGUAUUCACAGUUUUAGUUGGUAUUUUGAGGUGUUAUUUAUAUGUAUUAAUGACUUUACAUCUGUAACAUAAUCAGCCCCUGGUAAUUCAAGUUAUAUUAAU